rnacentral:rRNA from 1 species
GACGAACGCUGGCGGCGUGCCUAAUACAUGCUAGUAGAACGCACAGUUUAUACCGUAGCUUGCUACACCAUAGACUGUGAGUUGCGAACGGGUGAGUAACGCGUAGGUAACCUGCCUGGUAGCGGGGGAUAACUAUUGGAAACGAUAGCUAAUACCGCAUAAUAUUAAUUAUUGCAUGAUAAUUGAUUGAAAGAUGCAACUGCAUCACUACCAGAUGGACCUGCGUUGUAUUAGCUAGUAGGUGAGGUAACGGCUCACCUAGGCGACGAUACAUAGCCGACCUGAGAGGGUGAUCGGCCACACUGGGACUGAGACACGGCCCAGACUCCUACGGGAGGCAGCAGUAGGGAAUCUUCGGCAAUGGACGAAAGUCUGACCGAGCAACGCCGCGUGAGUGAAGAAGGUUUUCGGAUCGUAAAGCUCUGUUGUAAGAGAAGAACGGGUGUGAGAGUGGAAAGUUCACACUGUGACGGUAUCUUACCAGAAAGGGACGGCUAACUACGUG